GAUGAACGCUGGCGGCGUGCCUAAUACAUGCAAGUCGAGCGAACGGACGAGAAGCUUGCUUCUCUGAUGUUAGCGGCGGACGGGUGAGUAACACGUGGAUAACCUACCUAUAAGACUGGGAUAACUUCGGGAAACCGGAGCUAAUACCGGAUGAUAUUUUGAACCGCAUGGUUCAAAAGUGAAAGACGGUCUUGCUGUCACUUAUAGAUGGAUCCGCGCUGCAUUAGCUAGUUGGUAAGGUAACGGCUUACCAAGGCAACGAUGCAUAGCCGACCUGAGAGGGUGAUCGGCCACACUGGAACUGAGACACGGUCCAGACUCCUACGGGAGGCAGCAGUAGGGAAUCUUCCGCAAUGGGCGAAAGCCUGACGGAGCAACGCCGCGUGAGUGAUGAAGGUCUUCGGAUCGUAAAACCCUGUUAUUAGGGAAGAACAAAUGUGUAAGUAACUAUGCACAUCUUGACGGUACCUAAUCAGAAAGCCACGGCUAACUACGUG
rnacentral:rRNA from 1 species